rnacentral:tRNA from 1 species
GGCCAGUUAGCUCAGUCGGUUGAGCAUGGUGCUGAUAACACCAAGGUGGAGGGCUCGAUCCCCGCUCAGUCCC